rnacentral:misc_RNA from 1 species
AAGUCGUAACAAGGUCUCCGUAGGUGAACCUGCGGAGGGAUCAUUACCGAGUUGUGCGGGCCCACGGGCCCCCUCCUCCAACCCCAUGUUUUCUGACCCUGUUGCCUCGGGGGCGACCCGGACGUCUCGGCGUUGGGUGCCCCCGGUGGACCCCAUCAACUCUGCAUCAGUGCGUCGGAGUCAAAUGAUAAUCAAUCAAAACUUUCAACAACGGAUCUCUUGGUUCUG